AUAAACAGUGACAUGUAAGACUACUAUAUGUGAUGAGUAGCGUUAUCCCUCCCCACUUUAGUUUAGCCACACCCUGCAAUCUGAUUGUCAGCAGGUGAGGCUAAUCACUUCUCAGUCCUUAAAUGUAGCUGUGUUGCAGUCAGCAGUAGGUUUUGCCUCACCCUACCCUGACUCUACAUUUGUUUGAGGGAUGCCGAUGCCCAACUAAGGUAUCAAUUGUUCUUGGCUUGUUUGUCAUAUAGUGGGCGCAUGCAUUAAGUUCUUCCCUCACAUCUGUGCAGAUGUAAUUACAGGACUAUGGGAGCUAAUUGAAGGUAUUUGCUGCUCCCUCCACUAGAAGAGUGUGGUGUGUAUGUGCCAGAUCCUAGUUGGAUAAAUUGUUCAUGUAACUUGCAGUGUGUGACCUCUUCUUCCCUGUACGUGGUGGUGACCCCCCCCUUUCCUCUCACUCCUGUAGGCCUCCCCUGACAGCCCCCCUCCCCCUUACACUGUAGUGUGCUGGACCUGGGAGGGCUGACACGCGCAGCAGAAAGGACAACUGGAGCAAACCUUCAUGGACUUUUGAAGCAGGCUAAGGGUUGUAUGAAUAGUGUGUACGGCUGUGAAAUAAAGAGGUCUGGAUUAUU